rnacentral:rRNA from 1 species
CCUACGGGAGACAGCAGUGGGGAAUAGUGCACAAUGGGGGAAACCCUGAUGCAGCGACGCCGCGUGAGUGAAGAAGGAUUUCGGUAUGUAAAGCUCUAACAGCAGGGAAGAAAGAGCGACCGGUGGGGCGCCAGACGGUACCGGACGAAGAAGCCCCGGCGACCUACGUGCCAGCAGCCGCGGUAAUACGUAGGGGGCAAGCGUUAUCCGGAUUUACUGGGGGGAAAGGGAGCGUAGCCGGCAGCACAAGUCGGAAGUGAACUGCCGGGGCUUAACCCCGGAACUGCUUUGGAAACUGUGCAGCUAGCGUGCAGGAGAGGUAAGUGGAAUUCCUAGUGUCGCGGU